GAAAAAAAAAUGCCUCUUCGGCACCUCCAAUGUAUUGAGCGGUUGUAGACUUCCGACCUGUGCGUGGCAAUCAUGAGUAGCAAGUGAACCCUGGAGGUAACGAAGAGGCAUUUUCUCGGUUAUUUGUUAAAUAAUUUAGACUUUUUUUUAAAGUACAUACCGGCCGUAACGGGAGUAAGUUAAGAUAGUUGCUCAGCGAAACUCCAUAUUUGGCGAUCAACGAACUAAUUUGACAUUAUAACGCGUUCUGGGCGUUAGAGAGAGGUCUCCUACACAGAUACUGGUUCAGCCAGAUCAUUGGUUUGUUAUCAUAACACAGCAAACUAUCAAGGGAUGACUUCGGAUAAACAUUACGAGCAAACAGAGAGCAUCUAAGGAGGUGACCGCUCCGUCUGAAGAGGUCCAGGCAGUGGGGAUACCAUCCCACGGAGUCAGGCCUGUGAUGGAAAGAUAAAAUCUUGCGACUUGUGACGGCCGGCCGCCCAACAA